GCGGCCUUGGCGGAAUUGGCAGACGCCUGGGUUUUAGGUGCCCAUGGGAGAAAUCCCGUGAGGGUUCGAGUCCCUCAGGCCGCACUA
rnacentral:tRNA from 1 species